CCUGGUGGCUCAGAGGUUAAAGCGUCUGCCUCCAAUGCAGGAGACCAGGGUUCAAUCCCUGGGUCAGGA
rnacentral:tRNA from 1 species